rnacentral:rRNA from 1 species
UGCCAGCCGCCGCGGUAAUACGUAGGUCCCGAACGUUGCGCGAAAUUACUGGGCGUAAAGCGCGCGCAGGUGGCGUGGCAAGUGGCAGGUGAAAGCCCUCGGCUCAACCGAGGAAUUGCCUGCCAAACUACCGCGCUUGAGGCAAGUAGGGGUGCGAGGAACUCUUGGUGGAGCGGUGGAAUGCGUAGAUAUCAAGAGGAACGCCGGUGGUGAAGACGUCGCACUGGGCUUGUCCUGACGCUGAGACACGAAAGCGUGGGGAGCGAACGGGAUUAGAUA